UACGUAGGGGGCAAGCGUUGUCCGGAAUCAUUGGGCGUAAAGCGCGCGUAGGCGGCCCGGUAAGUCCGCUGUAAAAAGUCCAGGGCUCAACCCUGGAAAGCCGGUGGAUACUGUCGGGCUAGAGUCCGGAAGAGGUGAGUGGAACUCCGAGUGUAGAGGUGAAAUUCGUAGAUAUUCGGAAGAACACCAGUGGCGAAGGCGGCUCACUGGUCCGGUACUGACGCUGAUGUGCGAAAGCGUGGGGAGCAAACAGG
rnacentral:rRNA from 1 species